rnacentral:tRNA from 1 species
GCCACUGUGGUGUAGUGGUUUGAGCAUUAGGCUAUGACUCUGGAGACCAGGGUUCGAAUCCCAGCUCAGCCA